GACGAACGCUGGCGGCGUGCUUAACACAUGCAAGUCGAGCGGUAAGGCCUUUCGGGGUACACGAGCGGCGAACGGGUGAGUAACACGUGGGUGAUCUGCCCUGCACUUCGGGAUAAGCCUGGGAAACUGGGUCUAAUACCGGAUAUGACCUCCUAUCGCAUGGUGGGUGGUGGAAAGAUUUAUCGGUGCAGGAUGGGCCCGCGGCCUAUCAGCUUGUUGGUGGGGUAAUGGCCUACCAAGGCGACGACGGGUAGCCGACCUGAGAGGGUGACCGGCCACACUGGGACUGAGACACGGCCCAGACUGCUACGGGAGGCAGCAGUGGGGAAUAUUGCACAAUGGGCGGAAGCCUGAUGCAGCGACGCCGCGUGAGGGAUGACGGCCUUCGGGUUGUAAACCUCUUUCAGCAGGGACGAAGCGCAAGUGACGGUACCUGCAGAAGAAGCACCGGCUAACUACGUG
rnacentral:rRNA from 1 species